AACGAACGCUGGCGGCAUGCCUAACACAUGCAAGUCGAACGCGUGUAGCAAUACACGAGUGGCGGACGGGUGAGUAACGCGUGGGAACCUGCCCAAUGGUAGGGAAUAACUGCGGGAAACUGCAGCUAAUACCCUAUGCUCCCUACGGGGAAGAUUAUCGCCAUUGGAGGGGCCCGCGUCGGAUUAGCUAGUUGGCGGGGUAACGGCCCACCAAGGCUACGAUCCGUAGCUGGUCUGAGAGGAUGAUCAGCCACACUGGGACUGAGAUACGGCCC
rnacentral:rRNA from 1 species